rnacentral:misc_RNA from 1 species
AAAAUGCCUGUGAAAUGCUUAGUUUAACUCCACAAUCUGUUCCAAGCCUAGACAAGUCUGAGAUCCUCACUGUUGGAACUGAUGUUAGGACCCUUUUUACCCCUUCUAGCUCUGUUUUGCUAGAAAGAGCAUUCGGGGCACGUGAGAUCACUUUACUCAACCCAAUUUGGAUUCAUUCCAAGAAUUCUGGAAAGCCCUUUUAUGCAAUUUUGCACAGGGUUGAUGUAGGUAUUGUCAUUGAUUUGGAGCCUGCUAGAACUGAGGACCCUGCUUUAUCUAUUGCUGGAGCCGUG